rnacentral:rRNA from 2 species
CGCUGCGAUGCGGGUGGUUCGCCGCCCGUGACUCGGCGAGAAGUCCAUUGAACCUUAUCAUUUAGAGGAAGGAGAAGUCGUAACAAGGUUUCCGUAGGUGAACCUGCGGAAGGAUCAUUGUCGAGACCGAAAUAUAAAUCGAGUGAUUCAGAGAACACGUGAAUCGAGCGACGGCCGCCGCCGUUCGCGGGAUGACCGUCCUGGUUGUCGCCCCCAUCUCCUCUGCCGGGGGAGCGGGGGGCACGACGGGGGACGGAAGAGAACACAAACCGGCGCAGCAUCGCGUCAAGGAAAAUUUGGAAGGCACGAGCCACGCGUGUGGCUCGGUGGCGUGGGGUGUUGCGGCACACCAUGCAGUUGGACACGACUCUCGGCAAUGGAUAUCUCGGCUCUCGCAUCGAUGAAGAGCGCAGCGAAAUGCGAUACGUGGUGCGAAUUGCAGAAUCCCGCGAACCAUCGAGUCUUUGAACGCAAGUUGCGCCCGAGGCCAGCAGGCCAAGGGCACGUCCGCCUGGGCGUCAAGCGUUGCGUCGCUCCGUGCCAGCUCCGACCCCGUAUUGGUGUGUCGUCUGAGGCCCGGAUGUGCAGAGUGGCUCGUCGUGCCCAUCAGUGCGGCGGGCUGAAGAAAGGGUAACGUCUCGCUGGCCGCGAACAACAAGGGGUGGGUGAAAGCUGUGAGCCCAGCUUGAGUUGUCUCGUGCUGCCCGAGAGACGGAUUGAGCCUUCGAGGUGAUCCCGGCCCAUGCGCUGAUCCGCUUGCGGGCGGCGGCUUGGAAUGCGACCCCA